GGAGGGAUAGCUCAGUGGUAGAGCGCAUGCUUAGCGUGUGCGAGGUCCUGGGUUCAAUCCCCGGUACCUCCA
rfam:Camelus ferus unplaced genomic scaffold scaffold2764, whole genome shotgun sequence.